GAUGAACGCUGGCGUCGUGCCUAAUACAUGCAAGUCGAGCGAACGGACGAGAAGCUUGCUUCUCUGAUGUUAGCGGCGGACGGGUGAGUAACACGUGGAUAACCUACCUAUAAGACUGGGAUAACUUCGGGAAACCGGAGCUAAUACCGGAUGAUAUUUUGAACCGCAUGGUUCAAAAGUGAAAGACGGUCUUGCUGUCACUUAUAGAUGGAUCCGCGCUGCAUUAGCUAGUUGGUAAGGUAACGGCUUACCAAGGCAACGAUGCAUAGCCGACCUGAGAGGGUGAUCGGCCACACGGGAACUGAGACACGGUCCAGACUCCUACGGGAGGCAGCAGUAGGGAAUCUUCCGCAAUGGGCGAAAGCCUGACGGAGCAACGCCGCGUGAGUGAUGAAGGUCUUCUGAUCGUAAAACUCUGUUAUUAGGGAAGAACAUAUGUGUAAGUAACUGUGCACAUCUUGACGGUACCUAAUCAGAAAGCCACGGCUAACUACGUG
rnacentral:rRNA from 1 species